GCCUGGGUGGCUCAGUCGGUUGAGCGUCCGACUUCAGUUCAGGUCAUGAUCUCACGGUUUGUGGGUUCGAGCCCCACGUCGGGCU
rnacentral:tRNA from 1 species